rnacentral:rRNA from 1 species
UGGAGAGUUUGAUCCUGGCUCAGGACGAACGCUGGCGGCGUGCUUAACACAUGCAAGUCGAACGAUGAAGCCCAGCUUGCUGGGUGGAUUAGUGGCGAACGGGUGAGUAACACGUGAGUAAUCUACCCCUCACUUUGGGAUAAGCCCCGGAAACGGGGUCUAAUACUGAAUAUGACCUUUCCUCGCAUGAGGUUUGGUGGAAAGUUUUUUCGGUGGGGGAUGUGCUCGCGGCCUAUCAGCUUGUUGGUGAGGUAACGGCUCACCAAGGCGACGACGGGUAGCCGGCCUGAGAGGGUGAACGGCCACACUGGGACUGAGACACGGCCCAGACUCCUACGGGAGGCAGCAGUGGGGAAUAUUGCACAAUGGGCGAAAGCCUGAUGCAGCGACGCCGCGUGAGGGAUGAAGGCCUUCGGGUUGUAAACCUCUUUCAGCAGGGGAGAAGCGAAAGUGACGGUACCUGCAGAAGAAGCACCGGCUAACUACGUGCCAGCAGCCGCGGUAAUACGUAGGGUGCGAGCGUUGUCCGGAAUUAUUGGGCGUAAAGAGCUUGUAGGCGGUUUGUCGCGUCUGCUGUGAAAAUCCAGGGCUUAACCCUGGACGUGCAGUGGGUACGGGCAGGCUAGAGUGUGGUAGGGGAGACUGGAAUUCCUGGUGUAGCGGUGAAAUGCGCAGAUAUCAGGAGGAACACCGAUGGCGAAGGCAGGUCUCUGGGCCAUUACUGACGCUGAGAAGCGAAAGCAUGGGUAGCGAACAGGAUUAGAUACCCUGGUAGUCCAUGCCGUAAACGUUGGGCGCUGGGUGUGGGGUCCAUUCCACGGAUUCUGCGCCGUAGCUAACGCAUUAAGCGCCCCGCCUGGGGAGUACGGCCGCAAGGCUAAAACUCAAAGGAAUUGACGGGGGCCCGCACAAGCGGCGGAGCAUGCGGAUUAAUUCGAUGCAACGCGAAGAACCUUACCAAGGCUUGACAUACACCGGAAAAGUGCAGAGAUGUACUCCCCUUUUUGGUCGGUGUACAGGUGGUGCAUGGUUGUCGUCAGCUCGUGUCGUGAGAUGUUGGGUUAAGUCCCGCAACGAGCGCAACCCUCGUCGCAUGUUGCCAGCACGUAAUGGUGGGGACUCAUGUGAGACUGCCGGGGUCAACUCGGAGGAAGGUGGGGAUGACGUCAAAUCAUCAUGCCCCUUAUGUCUUGGGCUUCACGCAUGCUACAAUGGCCGGUACAGAGUGCUGCGAUACCGUGAGGUGGAGCGAAUCACUUAAAGCCGGUCUCAGUUCGGAUUGGGGUCUGCAACUCGACCCCAUGAAGUCGGAGUCGCUAGUAAUCGCAGAUCAGCAACGCUGCGGUGAAUACGUUCCCGGGCCUUGUACACACCGCCCGUCAAGUCACGAAAGUUGGUAACACCCGAAGCCGGUGGCCUAACCCUUGUGGGGGGAGCCGUCGAAGGUGGGACUGGCGAUUGGGACUAAGUCGUAACAAGGUAGCCGUACCGGAAGGUGCGGCUGGAUCACCUCCUUUCUAAGGA